AAACCGCUUUUUACCCACCCCCACCUACCUUAAAAUACAGCCAAUAUAGCCGAGGAAGAAACCCAGUGCUUUCACCUGGAAAUGGAGAUAUGCAUUUCAAGAGAUGAGAGGCAGGCAAAUGCCCAGGACUCAGAAGUGCCAUCCCACCCAUCAAGAAGAGCCCCCAAAUUAAGAAUCCCAGAGAUUCCAUACAAACAACCGCAUGGAAAAGAAGCCAGAGCUACAGAGGUGAUCUGGAUCCAGGAAGAAAUGGAAGAUGCCUGCAAUCAAAAAGAGAGAAAAGAGACAUCUCUUCUAGCUAACAUGAAAGACAGAGAAGCCACUUGGGAAACUUCAGCGGCCAUGCAGAGUCAAGUCCAUGAGGCGGAAGAUAAAGUGGAGAAUCAAGAACAGAAAGAAGACACAUGUGAUCAUCUCCCAAAGACACAGCGAUCUUUAGGACAUUUUUUUUCAAGUACAGCAGAUUCAGAUACAACACUGCCGUUGUCACAGUCAUUGUCCUAUGAAGGGCCCAUCAGUUACUCUCUGUCCAGCCCUCAGAUUAGUGGAGUGACUCUAUCAACAACUGGAUCAAAGACCCCUCAACCUAUUGUGAGCCAUUUCAGAUCAGAAAACAGCUUGGUUUCUUUGAAAGGCUCCGACAGCCUCACAACUCCAAAGAAACAGACGCGGUUUGUCCCUGCUGCUGAGACCGCCGUAACCGGGGACGGGGAGGAUUAUUUCCUGUCUUUGUUUGGUGAUUCGAAGAAACUUCUUGCACACUCAUUCCACUCCGAGAGGACUUGGAGGCACUUUUCUACGAUUCUUGAAGAAGUGGGCCAGUCUAGAUCCAGUGCUCUUGGAGACAUCAAAAUAGCUGAAGUAAAUGUUAAGGGUUUAUUUGUGAAGCUCAUUAACUCUUCCCUUGACAAAGAACUGGAAAUCGGAGGCCAUAUUCUCCAGCAAAAUGUGGAUGGACAAACAGUCUCUUUGUACCAAUUCCUUCCAGAUAUCAGAAUGCAGGCCAACUUCACAGUAACAGUGUGGGCGGCAGCUUCUGAGGCGAAGCAUCAGCCACCAUCAGACUUUCUUUGGAAGGAACAGGACAAGUUUAAGACAAGCCCGGACUGUACAACGAUCCUGUGCAAACCUAAUGGUGAAGCUAUUGCCUGGUAUACUCCUAUUCACUGGAAGCAAGCAUGGGAGAAACUGGACAUGGACAUUGAAUUUGACAGAUGCUCAGUAGUAAGCCCUGUGUCUCAAAGGCACAGGUUUCACUGGGUACCAGCUGUAACUCCAACUAAAGAGAAACAAGAUCAGUCUAAGGAAGACACCUCCAGAUAUCAGAUGGAACCAGGUGGAGUCUUUCUUCAGAGAGAAAAAGAUAUCCCAUCAACCCUCUUCCCUAAUCACAGCCCUUGGUGCCACAGUCCCAAUGUCCCUGCACAUCCCUACUGUCCUCUGAUUGGGCCUCACAAUCCCUGCGAGGCUGGAAGCAGCUUAGGUAGACAGCCCAGGCCUCGUUCACCUAGGCCUGACCCAGCCCAGGUACUGAAAAAAACAAGACAUCUGAAUUACAAAAGCAAUAGGCAAUCAACUCAGCCUUUAAAGCUGUUAGGUCUUCGACUUCUGCCAUUUCUGCAGAUACAUUUGCCAAAACCACAUGUUCCAGGAAUUCUGAAUUUCGUGGUCUGUCUGAUUCUCUACAUUUGGAAUCUGUCUCGUUAAAACAUGGAUGAAGCUGUCUUCCUAAUGACUGGAAGCAAUCGGUGAAGUUUCCAUGGAGGAACCUAUUCGGGAGAUUUUAAACCUGCCUCCGCUCACCUCAGAUUCAGCCAAAACCGUCUCCUCUUCCAGCUUGUGGUAACUAGGUACAAAAUCCCUUGGAUAGGAAAUGCCAAGAAUGUUUUAAUUAAAUAAUCUGAUGGAGCUACCAUUUUUUCAACCAUUCUCACUCUUUAUUCUUUAGCAAACUUAUUCUAUACCUAUCGAGUAUAGAAGCUGAAAAAAUAAUAAAGUAUACUCAUUUUUAAUGUUGAGCUUCCUUAUAGUCAGAAGAUAUGAUUGCUUCACUUUCUGAGAAUCUGUACGUGGUAGCUCUGUUUAAUUUAACUUAAUUUAAUUUAAUUUAUGUGUAUUUAUAUAGCAUAUACAGGACAAUGGAGGUAUAUAGAGUCUUGAAAUGUGAAAAAGAGUGAGGUGAGGAUUUCCCCCCAAUAUCUCUUUAAAAAAAUUAAGAAAAGUAAAAUAACCCUAAAAUCCACCAGUGAUGACCACUGAAUUUUAUUAUGUCCAAAAGGUAAGAAUAAUUUAUUUUUUACAAGUCAUCUGCCAAGGGACCCAAGUAGAUACUUAUUCACAAUAGCCGAAAAGUAGAAAUAAUACAAGUGUCCAUCAAAGGAUGAGUAGAUUUUUAAAAUGUGAUAUACACAUGUGGGCAAUAUUAUUCAUCUACUGAAAAAUGAAAUCCAAAUCUAUGCUACAACAUGGGAAAGCCUUGAGAACAUUAUGCUAAUUGAAAUAAGCCAGGCAUAAAAGAACAACAACCCUACAAUUUCAUUUAGGUACUAGAAAAAGGCAAAUUCAUGGAAAUGGAAAGUGUAGUGGAGUUGACUGGGGGCUCAAGGAAGGUGGUAACAGGGAGUUCCUGUUCAGUAGGUACAGAAUCUCUGUUCGGGCUGAUGAAAAAUUCCUGAAAAUAGAUAGUCACGAUGUUUGAGAACACUGUGAACAUACUUAAGGCCACUGAUGGUACACCUGAAAAUAGUUAAGAAGGUACAAAGAAAACCUCUUAAUAAAAUCUUAUUAAGCCAUAUGACAGCAUAAAGCAUCUGAAAAGACACACAUUGCUUCACAAAAUAAUUUUUCAUAUACUUUUUGGUUUGAUAUAAAAAAGAUUCACAUUAAUCUCUGCAUAAUGAUGCAGCAUAAACAGUUUCUAGUCACUAGGCUGCUCUGAUCACAUCAUUUCCUUUUUUUUUUUUUGAACUUAGGAGGACACUUGUACAUCUUCAGAAAACUGUCAGUGACACCUUAGGCCACUUUGAACCACUGUCUCCGUUUGUGAUCCCCAUGUUCACAUGGGAGUAUAUACACCUACUACCAAGAGGACCUGGUAACUGUAGCCAGUAAGCGAUCUCACCCGCGACGGAAUUGCAGCCUCUUUCCCUCAAAGAUUUGUAAUAGAAACACAUGAAAGAAAUGGCAUGUAAGGUUCAGGUGUUUGCAAUUAUUUCCCUCAUAGGAGCAGAGGUUUCCUAAUCCAAAAAUAUGUUUCAGCUUCACUGGUUUUCCUUAUGUAUGGAUAUUGUGCAGUUUCAGGAGAAUUUCAUCUAUAUAUCUCUUAAUUCAUUGACACUUCAUCCAUAACAUAGUAUCUCCUCUGAGCUCUUCUACAAGAUCAUUUCCUGUCUGGGUGGUCAAAAAUAGGGUGUAUUUAAAUAGUGCUUGCUUUUGUGAAGCACACUCUUAGGAACUAUAUAACCUUUUGCCCUCCCAAGAAAUGGAGAAAUAAAUGCUCAGGCCUGGGACUUGUAGGAGAUGCCUUGUCAGUCGCAUCACCACGGAGCGUUCUAGCACAAUGCCUUAGCUCUCUUCGCGCUCAGGGACUGUUAGUCCCCCUUUAGACUGGUACCGAUAGGGGAAGAUGGAUCCAUCUGAUGGUGUAAAUCACUAACUGCCUAAAUGUUCGUACUUAGGCAAGACUGUUUGGGGAUUGCAAAGAAAGAAAGUGGGCUUGGAGCAUUUUGUUUUCCUUGAUUUCCAUGAAUGCAGGUUAUAAGACUGAUCCUUUAGGCUUCAGCAGCCUUAGACAACAGCAAGCUUUAUCUUAUGGUCCCAUAAAUUUGCCCCUUGAUAAUGGCCCUCUGCACAUUAUCAAAGCACUCUGUUUAUAAUUACCUGACCGGAACUGAGCGUUAUUUCAUAAAGCAUUUGAAUAAUGAGCCUUGUUAAAUAACAUUCACUGUUUUGGGCAACAAAUUCACCUACAGUGGAUGAACUGGAUGAAUGGAACGAAAAGGAAAUCACACACACACACACACACACACACACACACACACUGUAUGAUUCUGGCAGGAAAUAGUGAAAGAAAUAGUGAAAGGGUUGACACUGUUCUGAUGUCUUUUUGGUUACUUGCCAAGCAGCUUUGAAGAGGCAUCCAAAUUCUCAGAUCAGUUUCAAGUUUAGGGUUCUUUCAGGGGAGGGCCUCCUACCGAGCUUGACACAUUACCCAAGUCCAAGGAGAGGGGGCAUUAUAAUCUAGCAACCUGAGUAAGGUUUAAAUGCGUGGGGACAAUACAACUUCGAGCUUAAAUAACAAAAAUGGUCACCACUCAAUUGUGUUUACAAAACACUAACUUGAAAUGUAUCUAUAUAGAUAUUCAUAAUCUAUUCCUAUUUAUAAUACCUUGAUAUUCUUUGGAAUACAUUACAAGACAACCCAGAUACAAGCAGAAACUUUGUUCUUUUUUUAGAGAAGUUUAAGUUUCCUAAUGUUUUACUUUUUGAAGGCUAAAGACAGUUUCAGUAUUUUGAAAGCCAUGAAAUGACCAGCCUGUUGUUUACAUUUGACCAUGGUGUGAGAAAAUAUAAAACUUUCGGAAUUGUUUGAAAACAGUACUUUCUGUUGUAAAUAGAUUGUAUAUGUGUCUGUAUUGUGACCCUGAGAAGAAGGGGAAAAGGCUUCUCUAAAUAAGAGAUUUUGCCCUAAUGUCAACAGAUUACAAAAGGUGAGUAGUAAUACCCUUCCCUACCUGCCACCUGCGUCACAUUAUAUUUUACAGUAGUCAACUAGCAGUUACUUUGAGUCAGGUCUAGAAGGAGGAGUGUAGUAACCAUGAGCUAUUUUUCAAGUUCAUAUCUCAUACUUCCUGUUCUGCUGAAAAUGGGAACCUCAGGGGGCUUGGGGAUGGAAUGUGGGAUGGGGGCAGCGUCCACUGCCAAGGUAGCUCAUUCAUAUGAGGCAAAUUUGUGCCCAGUGCAAGUUCGUGCCCAUGUUGGGCUCCGCAUAAGGUAGCUUGGGCUCCCGCACGCUGGGUGUCUGGUUUCCAAUAGUGAAUGUCCUGAGAAGAAGUGGAAGGUACCAAUUUCUUCAGAUACAGACACAGAAGAUGACACAGCAUCACUCUGCCAUGUUCUAUUAUUCAUCAGUUAGAGAGCCUAUAUUCAAGGUGAGGGGACAGAGGAACCACUUCUGUGCAGGAGGCCUGUCAGAGAAUUUGGGGGCCUUGUAAAACCACCACUAUGUGUACAUCACCAAGAAAAUAGACACUUCCUUCAAUCUGAUCUUGCCUUUAUAAUCUCACCUGGGAAUGUCCACCCCAAUCUUGUAAAAUAAAGUAGUAUAUCCCCAAGUUCAGUUGGUGGACCUGUUGAAACCUGAAUUUUCAAAGAGUCACAACAAAAUAGGCAAGAAACUGUGUGACCUCCUUUUCUUUAUUCGGGGUAAACUGUGAGUUUACUUAAAGCAAGGGAAAUAUCUCUUUGAGGUAUUGCCUUGAAGCAAUAAUUGGCUCCAGAGAUUAUAAAUUACCUCUUAAUUUCUUAUACCAUCUUUCAAAGGCCCCUCAAUAUCUCUCCCCUCUUCCUUAAAUCACUAAAAUCCAUGUGGAUUAGCUGGAGACAAAUCUUGAAGGGCAUGUAGUUGUUUAGUUUAUAUUUUGCAGGCUUAUUUUUCCAUCAUGCAUUCUUAAUCACCAAAAUUUCUUUGAGUAUGUGUUACAUGCUAAGAAUUUUAAAAAUAUGUGCUAUUUGCCUUUAUGGGAGUCACAGACCAGCGGGAAAUAUACUUGUAAUAAAACAGUAAAAGAACUACUACAAUAAAGCUAAAACACAAAAUCCUGUGGUUUCUUCUGAGAUUGAAGAAUUCCAGAUAGGUGCCAUGAAGCUGAUUUUAAGGGAAAUGAAAUGCUUCAGGCAAAUGAGGGGAAGGAAAUUUGAUCAGCACGCAGCACGUAAAUGGAAGGCACUGGUGGUUUUGAGAACCAGUCACUUACGUGUGUGUUUUUAGAACAUGGAGAGGAGGUUGGUUGGGCUGAACCAUGAGCUUUGUGUGCUGGGGCUCCAUGUUUGGACUUGCCCUGAUACGUUACAGAACGGAAAUACUAACAAAGUCAGCACAUUGGAGAGUGAGAGAUGGCAAUAGAGUUUGUUCUCUAUGGGUGGUUAUUUUUCUGAAAAACCUCAGCUUUU